AUCAAUGAACAAAUGCCCUGAAGGUUCAAGAUCCUUGCUGAUCUUGAAAAGUAAGCAGGGUCAGCCCUGGUUAGUAUUGGGAUGGGAGGCCACUAAUGAAUACCAGGUCUUGUGGUAU
rnacentral:rRNA from 1 species